GCGGGUGUAAUUCAGUGGUAGAAUGUCACCUUCCCAUGGUGAACGUCGUGAGUUCGAGUCUCAUCGCCCGCU
rfam:Chamaesiphon minutus PCC 6605, complete genome.